UACGUAGGGUGCAAGCGUUGUCCGGAAUUAUUGGGCGUAAAGAGCUCGUAGGCGGCUUGUCACGUCGGAUGUGAAAACUCGGGGCUCAACCCCGAGCCUGCAUUCGAUACGGGCUAGCUAGAGUGUUGCAGGGGAGACUGGAAUUCCUGGUGUAGCGGUGAAAUGCGCAGAUAUCAGGAGGAACACCGGUGGCGAAGGCGGGUCUCUGGGCCGAUACUGACGCUGAGGAGCGAAAGCGUGGGGAGCGAACAGG
rnacentral:rRNA from 1 species